rnacentral:lncRNA from 1 species
AGCAAAUGAGUCAGGUGUGCUUCAUGAGUAUAUAUGCUUUAUGAGUCCUGGCUCAGCUGACUGAAAUUGCUCUUUACCUAGGAGCCUACAGAGUGAUCUUCGCACAACGAACCUCCAAGAGUUGCGCAUCAUGCUGGAAACUUGCUACAAUGAGAUUGACCAUCUCAAAGCAUCCUUGGCUGACAAUGCACACCCAGCCAUUGAACGCUUACAGGAACUUGAAGAUGAGAACCAUUUCCUAAAGAAAAGCUUGAACCAUAGGCGACAGGAAAGCGCUGCUGCAACACCAAUUUCAGGGGAAGUGAAAAGAAGUAUGGGCUCUCUUACGAAACGUAAUGCAGAACAGAAAAAGUGGGAGCAAAGCAAGUCAUCCAUCGCCACGCCAGACAAUGAGAAGCUGCAACUACAGGUCCGGUUGCUGAAAGAGGACAGAAAGGCUCUCCAGGCAGAGUUGGCAGCACGAGAGAGAGAGGUUGAACGGGUGCGGAAAGAAAAUUGUCGGCUGGAGAUUGAGCUGAAAAGGUCAUCUUUUCAGGUCAUUGAAAGUGGUAGAAGCAGCAAAAAUUGUAAAAGAGGUUCCGUGGAGGUGCAACCCAAGGAAAGAGAUGGGAAAUUUGACUUUGAGACUGCUGGAGCAUGGAGCUGGCAGGCUGGGAGCAACAAUUUGCAUUUAUUGCCACAUUCCGGUUCCGG